AUUGAACGCUGGCGGCAUGCUUUACACAUGCAAGUCGAACGCGAAAGCGGGGGCAACCCUGCCGGUAGAGUGGCGAACGGGUGAGUAAUACAUCGGAACGUAUCCUCGCGUGGGGGACAACCAGUCGAAAGACGGGCUAAUACCGCAUACGCUGGAGACAGGAAAGCAGGGGACCCGCAAGGGCCUUGUGCGCAUGGAGCGGCCGAUGUCUGAUUAGCUAGUUGGGGGGUAAAGGCUCACCAAGCGACGAUCAGUAGCUGGUCUGAGAGGAUGAUCAGCCANACUGGGACUGAGACACGGCCCAGACUCCUACGGGAGGCAGCAGUGGGGAAUUUUGGACAAUGGGGCAACCCUGAUCCAGCCAUGCCGCGUGAGGGAAGAAGGCCUCGGUUGUAAC
rnacentral:rRNA from 1 species